GAAACACAAAGAGAGGAUCUGGUGUGCAGCAUUUCCCAAACAUCUUUGGCCACGUUUCCAUGUUCAGAAAAUCAUCUGUGGACAGACGCCAGUGGGCACUGGAGACCCUCAGAUAACUUCUGAGCAGCUUGGCGCAAACAUAGUCAGAUCUGUGGUUAUGAAGGCAUCUUAGGCAGUAGAUUCAAGGACGGACACACUGAUGUCAAGCCUGGAGACAGGAAGAGUAGUUAGAAAGUAGCUAAUUCUACUGAGGAAAAGCAAAAAGAAAGACACUUCACUCAUCUGGCUCCUAAUGAAAAGACAGGGCUCCAGUGACCCAGAUCACCAGGGUGUCCUCGAAAUUCUAUCCAAUUAAAAAGCCAUCCCAUCUGAGAGAACAGGUUUGAAAACCAUGAAGAGCUAUACAUACAAAAAUGGCAAAGGCUAGACAGUAGAGAUGCUGUGAGAGCGUGCAGAUGGACUCCGGGUUGCAGUUCCUCCUGCCUGCACCCCAGCCCCCUACUUUGUGUUGGUGCCAGUUGUAAAGAUGAGCAAUCCAGGGGCCAAGGCUCCCACUUCAUCAAUCCAGUUGUAGUGGCAUGCCUGUUUCAUUCUUUGCAUCUCAUUACUCUCUCUUCCCGUCAUCACAGACCUCCCUGGCCUGUCUGGAUUGUGGGAAGAGGAGAAAACUGUCCCGAGGACUGGAGACCAUACCACACUGAUCUCAGGAGGAGUGAUGGAAGCCUUGCAAAGGGACACCAGGCAAAUCAGAAGCCCAGAGCUGGGCUCUUCAGAGGCAAGUACGAGGAGGCUUUAGGGACAGAGAUGCUGUGGAUAGGA
rnacentral:lncRNA from 1 species